rnacentral:rRNA from 1 species
GACGAACGCUGGCGGCGUGCUUAACACAUGCAAGUCGAACGGAAAGGCCCUGCUUUUGUGGGGUGCUCGAGUGGCGAACGGGUGAGUAACACGUGAGUAACCUGCCCUUGACUUUGGGAUAACUUCAGGAAACUGGGGCUAAUACCGGAUAGGAGCUCCUGCUGCAUGGUGGGGUUGGAAAGUUUCGGCGGUUGGGGAUGGACUCGCGGCUUAUCAGCUUGUUGGUGGGUAGUGGCUUACCAAGGCUUU